rnacentral:rRNA from 1 species
GCCAGCAGCCACAUCACCCUGCAGCCCAGCAGGUGUGAGCCUGGUCAGUCCCUGGAUGGGUGACCUCCUGGGAAAAACUAAGGCUGCUGCUGGAA